CGUGGCUUGCUUCUCUCAUAUAAUUAAGCGAGACGGACAAGGGAAAGAGAUGACGCUCCCAUCUACUCAUACCUAAUCAAUGAGUUAACUCAUGACAUGCACCGAGCAUUGGGUGUCCCUCCUCAUAAACACCAGCACGCAAUCAUCAAUGCAGAGAGAGAGAGAGAGAGAGAGAGAGAGAGUUGAAGGAAGGAAGCUGGUGGUAUUGAAUGAGUUAGGCUUCCACGGUUUUGAGCAUUCACCCGCUUGGGUUCUGCGGUGUUUUUCAGGUGGCGGGUGUAAUUUCUCCCAUUAAAUGAAGCUGGCUUUGAAUGGGUUUCAAAUCUUACGGUCUUCUGUCGGGACUCGGAAGGGAAGGAUUUAGUUUCAUCAGGAAGUGAGAGACUCGAGUGUUAUCAGACUUGCUUUUUCGCUGCCUAUAUAAGAAGCUGCUGAAGUAUUUAAGCAUGUCUACCAUUGCUGUGGACUUGCCUGUGAAGAAUGUAGCAGCUGCGAGUCUGGAUGGACCAAGUAUCUUUCUUCCCCUGCGCAUGAUGAUGACGACAGUGAGGUGGAAUCUGUUGUCGGGGAUGCUGGUGAAGACACAGGUCACGAGAGCAAGGAGAGUGAUGAUGAC